rnacentral:rRNA from 1 species
GAAGGUGUAUCUAGAAAGACAAAUUAGAGCUUGAAAAGUAAAGCAUUUCAUUUACAUUGAAAAGUAUAUUGUGUAAUUCAAUUUAAUUUGAUAAUAAUAGAAAUUUAUUAAUUUUUUUUUGUUUAAAUAAUUAUUUUAAUAAAAUUAAUUUUAAGUUAGUUAAUUUUUUUGUAUAAUAUAUAGAUCAAAUAAUUUAUAUAAUAGUUAAUUAGUAUUGUAAAAGAAUAUUGAAAUAUAUGAAAAAGUUUUAAAUUAAAAGUAAAUUUUAUAUAUUGUACCUUGUGUAUCAGGGUUUAUUAAUUAAAAGUUAAAAAUUUAAUUUUUCUCGAAUUUGAGAGAGUUAAUUUAUUAUUUAAUUUUUUGUUUCAUAAAAAUUUAAAAUAAUAAAUUAGAAAUGAAAUGUUAUUCGUUCUUAAAUAUAUCUAGUUUUUUAAGAAAUAAAUUAAAUUUAGAUUAUUAAUAAAUAAUUAUUUAUUUAAAUAAUAAAUUAUUAUUAAUAGUUAAUAUUUUAAGGGAUAAGCUUUAAAGUAAGUUUUAUAAUAAUUUUUUAAUUUGAAAAUUAUAGAUUUAGAAAUAGUCAUUAAUUAUAAAAAUGUUAUAAUUUAUUUUAAAUUAAAAAUAAUUUUUAUUAAUUUAAGUUUUUAUUAAAAUAAUUUUUAAAAUUAUGUAAGAAUUAAAAUAAUGAUAAAAUUAGUAUAUUUAAUUGUUUUAAAUAAAUAGAUUGAAAGGUUAAAUUAAGGAACUUGGCAAAUAAAUACUCGCCUGUUUAACAAAAACAUGUCUUUUUGAAUAUUAUUUAAAGUCUAUUCUGCCCACUGAAAAUUUUAAAGGGCCGCGGUAUU